UACGAAGGGGGCUAGCGUUGCUCGGAAUGACUGGGCGUAAAGGGCGCGUAGGCGGUUCAUACAGUCAGGCGUGAAAUUCCUGGGCUCAACCUGGGGGCUGCGCUUGCGACGUAUGGGCUGGAGUGCGGAAGAGGGUCGUGGAAUUCCCAGUGUAGAGGUGAAAUUCGUAGAUAUUGGGAAGAACACCGGUGGCGAAGGCGGCCAUCUGGACGGUGACUGACGCUGAGACGCGAAAGCGUGGGGAGCAAACAGG
rnacentral:rRNA from 1 species